UGCUGACAAUGAUGAAUUGUUUUAUCAAUGGGAAUCUCUCUGAAAAUAAGUGAUAGAGGAUUUUUAUUCUGACCACAGCA
rnacentral:snoRNA from 1 species